rnacentral:rRNA from 1 species
GUCCGAUUUGUGAAGUUAAGCGGCCACAGGCCUCGUUAGUACGGCGAUCAGUGAUGGCGCUGGAACCCGGGGUGCCGUACCCU